CAAUAGCGUAUAUUAAAGUUGUUGCAGUUAAAAAGCUCGUAGUUGGAUUUCUGGUGGGAGCGAUCGGUCUGGCGCUUAGCGCGAGUACUUGCAUCGUCUCCGGCCAUCCUUGGGGAGAGUCUGUCUGGCAUUAAGUUGUCGGGCAGAGGAUCCUCAUCGUUUACUGUGAAAAAAUUAGAGUGUUCAAAGCAGGCUUAUGCCGUUGAAUAUAUUAGCAUGGAAUAAUAAGAUAGGACUUUGGUACUAUUUUGUUGGUUUGCGCACCAAAGUAAUGAUUAAUAGGGACAGUUGGGGGUAUUCGUGUUCCGUUGUCAGAGGUGAAAUUCUUGGAUUUACGGAAGACGAACUACUGCGAAAGCAUUUACCAAGGAUGUUUUCAUUAA
rnacentral:rRNA from 1 species